rnacentral:SRP_RNA from 1 species
GCUGGGCAUGGUGGCACAUGCCUGUAAUCCCAGCUACUCAGGAGGCUGAGGCAGGAGAAUUGCUUGAACCCGGGAUGUGGAGGUUGCAGUGAGCUGAGAUCGUGCCACUGCACUUCAGCUUGGGUGACAGAGCAAGACUCUGUCUCAA